UGUGGCUCAGUGGUAGAGUGCUUGCUUAGCAUGCAUGAGGGUCUGGGUUCAAUCCCAGUA
rnacentral:tRNA from 1 species